rnacentral:rRNA from 1 species
GACGAACGCUGGCGGCGUGCUUAACACAUGCAAGUCGAACGGAAAGGCCUGCUUUCCCUUGUGGAUUGCGGGUGCUCGAGUGGCGAACGGGUGAGUAACACGUGAGUGAUCUGCCCCCAACUUGUGUAUAAGCCUGGGAAACUGGGUCUAAUUCCCGAUAGGACUGCAGGGUGGUGCCUGUGGUGGAAAACGAUUUUCUAGUGGUUGGGGAUGAGCUCGCGGCCUAUCAGCUUGUUGGUGGGGUAAUGGCCUACCAAGGCGGGGACGGGUAGCCGGCCUGGGAGGGUGGACGGGCACAGUGGGACUGAGACACGGCCCAGACUCCUACGGGAGGCAGCAGUGGGGAAUAAUGCACAAUGGGCGGAAGCCUGAUGCAGCGACGCCGCGUGGGGGAUGACGGGCGUCGGGUUGUAGACUCCUUUCGACAGCGAGGAAGCCACCUGGUUGGAAGGGUGGUGACGGUAGUGGUAGAAGAAGCACCGGCUAACUACGUG